rnacentral:rRNA from 1 species
UACGAAGGGGGCUAGCGUUGUUCGGAAUUACUGGGCGUAAAGCGCACGUAGGCGGAUUGUUAAGUCAGGGGUGAAAUCCUGGAGCUCAACUCCAGAACUGCCUUUGAUACUGAGGAUCUUGAGUUCGGGAGAGGUGAGUGGAACUGCGAGUGUAGAGGUGAAAUUCGUAGAUAUUCGCAAGAACACCAGUGGCGAAGGCGGCUCACUGGCCCGAUACUGACGCUGAGGCACGAAAGCGUGGGGAGCAAACAGGGA